rnacentral:rRNA from 1 species
CAAUAGCGUAUAUUAAAGUUGUUGCAGUUAAAAAGCUCGUAGUUGGAUUUCUGGUGGGAGCGAUCGGUCUGGCGCUUAGCGCGAGUACUUGCAUCGUCUCCGGCCAUCCUUGGGGAGAGUCUGUCUGGCAUUAGGUUGUCGGGCAGAGGAUCCUCAUCGUUUACUGUGAAAAAAUUAGAGUGUUCAAAGCAGGCUUAUGCCGUUGAAUAUAUUAGCAUGGAAUAAUAAGAUAGGACUUUGGUACUAUUUUGUUGGUUUGCGCACCAAAGUAAUGAUUAAUAGGGACAGUUGGGGGUAUUCGUAUUCCGUUGUCAGAGGUGAUAUUCUUGGAUUUACGGAAGACGAACUACUGCGAAAGCAUUUACCAAGGAUGUUUUCAUUAA